rnacentral:lncRNA from 10 species
GGCAUGAGUUUUUAAUCCUGGGCCACAAGAGGCCCUGACACUUCCUCUGUUGCUCUCUUGAAACCUUCACGAAAGGAAGCCAACCUAGGCAGCAUCCAACACUGACUGCCAGACAUGUAAGUGAGACCAUCUUGGAUUUCCCCGCCCAGACGACCAUCUGGCUGAAUAAGUGAAAUCAAGUGAAGGCAGAAGAGGAGCUGCCCAGCAACCCACAGAAUGGCCUCCAAAGAAGUCUACAAAUUCCAUCAGUCAGUAACGGCUUGGAGUUCCAAAGCUUAUGACUCAAAGGAUACAUGGCUUCUGAUGGCCCUGCUGGGGAGACCAUGUGGAGAGAUGGCAUAGAGCCAGAGAUUCACGUUCCAGGAGCCCUGACUGUCUCAUCUCAGGGAAUUGAAUCUCCUUGUGCUCCAGACCCUAUGAGAGGAUGCCAUCCCCUGCUACCAUCUGACUGCAACCUCAGGAGACACCCCAAGCCAGAACUGAGCAGCCAAGCCACUCUCAUAUUCUUGACCCAUAGACAUUGGGAGAUAAAAACUGAUUGUUGUCAAUUUUAGUCAGUACAUUUUAGGGCAAUUUGAUGUCCUAGCAAUAGACUAGUAUAUUUAUCCAUUGCUGCAUCUUCUUCUGCUUAGAUUAUGAUGCAUGUUUUUUAGCUCCAACUAGUAUCUAAACUUGUCAUGG